rnacentral:lncRNA from 1 species
GUGAACGCCAAUGAACAACGUUCGAUGACCUUCUAGAUCUUCCUUUUCAAAAUGAGUUUUGAGAAUGGAGCGAGUUCCACCUCUAUCCACAACAGCUUCCUCAUCAUUUCUCGUGGGCAGCAGCGGCUCCAUCUGCGCCCCCUGGUCCUGGGUCUCCAUGCGGCGGCGGCGGGGCCGCGGCAGCGCCCUCCCCGCCGCCCGCCCGCCCGCCGGCCGGCGCGGAGCCGAGCGCUGCGCUCCCCGGGCACUGUGGGAGCCGCCGGGCUGCGCUGGGCUCCGCGAUCCGCCGCGCUCCGCCGCGGAUCAGGUGGC